GACGAACGCUGGCGGCGUGCUUAACACAUGCAAGUCGAACGGAGCGGCGGACGGGUGGGUAAUACCUAGGAAUCUGCCUGGUAGUGGGGGAUAACGUUCGGAAACGGAAGCUAAUACCGCAUCCUAACAGAUGGGCCUAGGGCGGAUUAGCUAAUUGGUUGGGUAAUGGGUCACAAAGGCUACGAUCCGUAACUGGUCUGAGGGGAUGAUCAGUCACACUGGAACUGAGACACGGUCCAGACUCCUACGGGAGGCAGCAGUGGGGAAUAUUGGACAAUGGGCGAAAGCCUGAUGCAUGCAUGCGGCGUGUGUGAAGAAGGUCUUCGGAUUGUAAAGCACUUUAAGUUGGGAGGCGUUACCGACAGAAUAAGCACCGGCUAACUCCGUGCCAGCCGCCGCGGUAAUUC
rnacentral:rRNA from 1 species